AAGACAUGUUUGAAAAUGGAAAAAUUUAAAAAUCUUUUUAUUUUAAUUUAGAAUCCUGCACCACAUGUUUCUGCCUUCAAAGCAGCUCCGCUUUACCUGGAGUGUGACCUGGACUUUCAUUUGUGCCCACUGCCACGAUACACCAUCCCUAAAGGCGAUGUCGUGGGUGUGCAUCUCCCUCCAACACAGAAGAAAUUUCUAGAUAGAAAGGAUAUAAUCAAAGGGAUUAUGGCAUGGAAGAAGUUUCCCUCUGUGGCCUUAAGCACUUUAUCCAAUAUUUCGACUAUAAGAGGCGACUGCGCCCCACAUGUGUCUGACCCCUUCGAUAUCAUCCUGCUGCCUGUGGAGGCUCCUCCAGCUCUUCAGGAUCUGCCCGACAGCAUCAGAGAUGAGAUUCAAGCUGGAGUGUAAAUACAGAUUAGCCACCAGCUUCAAUAACCCCUCUGCCUUUGAUUGUUUGUCACAGCAUUUACAGAUUCAUGAUGGUUUGAUUUCUCUGGCAGGUCCGAGAGCUCAGAUCUUCGUCUCACUCCUGAGAUGGUUGAGGCAGAGUUCGGCCUGUCUGAGAGAGCUUCAGCUACAUCUAUUAAAGAGGAUGGAGAUGAAGACAACGGGUUGGUACAAUGGGUUAUCAAAUCAUUGACACUUGCUAAUUGACUUGUGUUUAUCAUGGUUAUGUUGAGGUUGAUGUAUGAAUGAAUAGAAACCUAAACUUAAUCUUUUUGUCUGCAAGUCUCAGAACUCCAGGUGCAACAGUCGCCUCUGCAGAAACAGCCAUGAGGUGAGAACCAUCACUUCGAUCAUUUCACAUGUUGUAGAAAAUAAUCCUCAUAUAGAUAA
rnacentral:lncRNA from 1 species